GCUAUCAACACAAGAUUUUUAAAGGCAGAGUAUAUUUUGGCAACUAAAAAUAUACUACUUCGCUUAGCCUUGUGUUGGAUGAAAGUCAGAUGAGGAUUGGAUCUGACCUGUGGUUCAGAAGUUUGUCAAUCUUGAUCUAAGAAGAUUUUCCUUUUUUAGGCUGUUACUAUGUCUUGGCAUAUGGGUGUCCGUGAGAUGAAUAAAUGGGAGAUGACACAGGAAGCUGCAUGUCACAGUUGAUCGAAAAUGACAUAGACAUUGAAAAUCAGGAUUUUGGCCCACCUCUGAGCUCCCUGUUGAAUGGCGAUCACAAUCAGGAGAAAUGCAAAUGAAAAAUGAAAAAAAGUUCCUGGGAUUGGAUCUAAUGAACUUACACUAUAAAGUGUAAGUUUCGAAUUGUUUCAGAGUUAUUUAUGAUAUUAGCAGAGUAUCUCAGGUGUGGGUUCUUCUGAUUGCAUUCAUUCAUCGGCCCCAAGCUAUUUGUGUCUGAAUUCUCUCUUCCAUGAUCAAAAGCAAAACUAAAGAAAAUGUCAGUCAUUUGUUUAUUCAUUAUUUUUAGCACCAAGUUAACUAGUAAUUGGAAGAAUGAUAGAUUUACUGUAAACCACGUGGUAACCCCCCAGAAGAUUAACAAGGAUGACUAGAUGUUCUCAUGCUGCAGCUUUUGUUCUGGGUUUUUUUCAUAUACUUCAUUGGAAAUCAAAUAGUCAUAUUAUUGUACUCUGUCAUUUUAAAAAAGGCAAUCAAAGGCCUUUUCUGAUCCACUCUGAACUGGAGCAGUUUUUGUCAUCAUGACAAAAAUGGCAUGACUAUCUUUGCCUAAUUCUUGCCAGGCUUUUUAUUUCCUUUUCCUCUAGAUUUCUUUUUGGAUCCUGUCUUCUCAAUAUUCUCUAAAGGUAUUUUGGGUGGGGUGGAAAAGGAGAAGUCUAAUAAUGCUCCAUCAAAUCAAAUAUUUAUUAUAAUACAACAAAUGUUUAUUGCAUUUCACACAGGACAUUGUACUUAGAGAAGGUAAAUUUCCUCCCUUUAAGGAGUUCAUUGUCUAGAAAAGGAUAAGACAUUAUUAUAGAUGCCUAAUGUACAACCUGUACAUAAUACCUGACAUAUAAUAAGUACUUAAUAAAUUUUUAUCUGUCUAUGUUAAAAUGUAAAGUUAUAAACUAAUGUACUGUUUGUGAUCUUAGGGAAAAUAUUUACCAUGAGGAUGAAGUCUGUAUUUUACUAGAUCUUUCUUGUUUCUGAAAAGUUGCCUUCUCAGUAAACAAAAUGGACUGAUGCAUCCCUGUUAUAGAUUCUGGUUGCUAUGGAAAUCUUUUAACUCCAAAUUAACUGCAAAGUUUUUAAAAUGGGCUGUUGAAGACAGAACAUUCCUCCCAGGAAGUCCUGCUGCUCCCCCAUCCCUGAAAGGAAUUUUACCUCAGAUAGACCAAAGUGACCCACUCUAUUGCCUGGACCCUACGCUGCUGAACAGAUAAUUAGUAUUGACCUGCAGGCUUAUGCUGUCUGUCUUCCCUCUUCCACUGAGGCCGUCUCUGAAAGCUAAAUUAAGCAGUAGCAUCAUUCUGUCUUCUAGUUUUUGGAGUGGUUUCUUUCAGAGCAGAACUAACUCAUUUGUGACUUUGUCACACGCCUGUCCAUUAUGGUCUGGCACACUUUUAAGGCCGUGACAUUGACCCCGCUCAGGGAGUUGCUCAUUAACACAUUCUCUGGGCAACACAGCACAGGAGAGCUGUCCGUUUUUAUUCUUGCUUUCUCUGGGGUGGCAUUGAAGCAAGACUUACAGCUGCUGAAAACUGCAAGUUAGGUCAAAUAAUAAUGUGAAGAGUUCACAUUUGCCUAGUGCUUUAUAUUUGCAAAAGACUUUACAGAGAUUUUUUCAUUUUAAUCUUAGGACAGACCUGGGACAUUGGUAAGAAAAAUAAGGUUAUCCCCAUUUUACAGAUGAUUAAAUGGAGAAAUAUUAAGUGACUUAUACAAGAUUAUUCAGUAAAAGUUGUUUAGUUGUCAGUAAUGCCGGACUCUUUAUGAUCCCUUUUCAGGCUUUCUUGGCAAAGAUAAUGAAGUAUCUUUUCCUUCUUCAGAACAUUUUACAGAUGAGGAAACUGAGGCAAACAGGGUUAAGUGAUUUUCCUAGGGUCCUGCAGCUACUAAAUAUCUGAGGCUGAAUUUUAACUUAGGAGAAGGAGUCUUCCUGACUCCAGGUCCAGCACUCUUUCCAUUGCCCCACUUAGUAAAUAGUGAGAAACAUGAACCUCUGUAAUUAUUUGUUUGUUUUUUUAAUUCCAAAUCUGGUCAUCUUUCCAUUUUUUUGCAUAUCUAAAAAUCUAUCUUCAUGCCAUUCUCAAGUUGGACAUCCCUUGUACAGCCCAAGCUUUUCUUGGCUAAUGAACAUUAAGCAGUUCAUAUGUUUGUGAUUUUUUUUUUGUCUCUAAAUUUUAGCAGAAAUGAAGAAGAUGGAAUUGGGGAGGGUGUUGUAUUCAGCAAAAGAAAGAAUUCUGAAAAUUCUAGGAAAAAAGAGGAUGGGAAAAAGUGGUUUUCCCCAGUUCUACACUUUUAUGGGGUCAUUGUCCACACAGACCUACUGCUGAUUAAAGUCUGAGUUUUUUUAUGUUUUUAUUUUCACAGAAAAAGAGCCCUCUUUGUGGAAGGGAUAUCGUAAUCCCAAAUUACCUGUUUUUCUCUUUAUUUUUGGCCAAAAAACUGUCCUUUUCCAAUUUCCUUGAGUAUGCUCUGAACCUGUUAGAAAUGGAAAUUCUCCAGUCGAAAAUUAACAGCAGGUAUAGCUAAAAACAACAGGUGUUAAGAAUAAAUCCACUAGGUUAUGGAGGGAAGUGGUCUGCAUAUUACUGAUAAAAGUAAGUAGGUGCAAUUCAUCUGAUGCAGCAUGUGGCUAGAACAUCAAUGUGCACUGAAGCAAAUAAAAAUUUAAGGUCAUUAUUUCUGUCAACUGACCUGACUUCCCUUCUUUCUUACAUAUGAAGUGAAUUUUCUUUCUAACCACUGAAGUGAAGAAUUCAUAUAUUCCUCCUGUAGGAACAUUCUACCAUUUUAAAAAAUUGUUAAUUUUAUAUCUUAAUGAACAAAAAUAUAUUUUCUGUACCUCCCACUUCCCCUACCCUUAUUGAAAAUCAAAAAAGAAAAAAAAAUACUUGUAACAAAUAUAUGUUACAAACAUAUAUUCUCUUAUUGGUUACAAUAAAAAAUUAUGUCUCAUGGUUCCUAGGUCCCUCACUUCUCUGGAAUCAUGGUUCCUACUGCAUCUUUGUAAAGAAUGUAAAACAACUUUGAAAAGAUUACAUAAUUAUUUCUUUCUGCUGUCCAUGGUGGUGGUAGCAUGUGUAUUCUAAGGAGUUAAUCUUGUGAAGAUGGUACAUUUUAUAUUCAUUUUGCUAUAAUCUGUGAAAUCAAAAAAUUUAGGGGUUAGAAAUAAUUUCUGUUGUCAUUUGGGCCAAUGUCUAUAUGAAGCAUUAAUAUAACAUUCUGAACAAAUAUCAUCAUACUUCUAUUAGGAGUCUCUUCAGAUGGAGAAGUCACUACCUUUCCAAGCAGUCUAUUCCACUUUUCAAUAUUGAAUUGAAAUUGACUCUGCAAUUUCCACCCUUGUUCAUCAUCUACCUGAUAGAGCCAAGAAAAUCAAGACUGAUCUUUUUUUAUAUAUGAUAGCCUUCAAGAUUGUUAUUUUUGUCAAGGCAAUUGGGGUUAAGUGACUUGCCCAGGGUCACACAGUUAGUAAGUAUUAAAUUUCUGGGGCUGGAUUUGAAAUCAAGUCCUCCUGCUUCAGAAUCAAUACUCUAUCCACUGCACCUUCUAGUUGUACCACCCUUCAAAUUUCUGAAGACAAAGAUCACAUUCCUUUCAAGUUUCUUCUCUUGACUAAGCAAUUUCAUUGUCUUUAACCAAUCUUAUGAUAUGGUUUCAAAUCACACGUGCUACCUUAGAUAUGAAAAAAACAAAUUGGAACCUAAAAAACAGAAAUGGAGGUUUUCGCUUUGUUCAUUUUAAAACAGAGCUCAGGAGAAUUUCAUUAUUUUUAACAAGUAUGUAUAGUGUAAUGUCAUAGCUAUUCUAACCAUGGGCUUGAGAUAUGACCAAUUUAAGUUUUGAGAUGUGACCAACAUAAGUUGAAUCACAGACUACUCAGCUUUACUGUUGGUCUCUCGGGGCAUUUAGGGAAAGCACCUUACAACAAAUAAUACCACCUUAACUUUCUAUAUGGCCUCUUCCUUUUCUAAGUAAUUUCCUUUCUCUCAUUUAAUCUUUGUAGAAAAAGCACUUAUUCUAAAAUCAAACGAUCUAGAUUUAAAUUCCUAUGUUUGGUGUUUAAUGCUUGAAAUAACCCUCCCUAGGCCUCAGUUUUCUUAUCUGGAAAAUGGGAAAGACUCUUCCAGGUCCAGAGCUAUGAUUCUAGAAGCCAUAUGAAGAAAGUUUUUUUUUUUGGGGGGGGGGCACAUAAUAAGUGUUUAAUAUCUAUUUCUUAAAUGAAUAUAAUUUCCCCAAGAUAUUCAGAAGGUAGGGUAAAGCUAAGAAUAAAAAUAGAAAGAUAAUCAUGGUGUCUUAGUGAUGAAAAGGCUUUUGGGGGUUCUUUAAUUGGCUAUUUAUAGUGACAGAGAAUAUCAGUGGUUCUAGCUCACUAAAUAAACCAUUUAAUUUUUGGAAAGUUCUGUUAAACUAUUCACUCUUGGUUCUCUUCCUAUCACUUUAACCACUCAUAACUCAUUUUCUGGCUUAUCACCUAUAUCAUACACUUUAAUUGUAGAUGCUUUCUAAGGGAUUAUCCUGAAUGCUUUUCUCCUUUUUCUUUACACUCUUCUCUCUGUCUGCUCCUAUCUGUACAUUUCUCUCCUCUCUUCUUUGUCUGUCUCUGUUCUUCCUCUUUUUUCUCUUAUCUCUUUCUCUUUUUCCUUUUCACUGUCUCUCUCCUCUUUCUUACCUCUCUUUCUUCACUCUCACUCUUCUCACUGUCUCUGUCCUUCUCUUUGUUUCUGUUUCUCUUCUCUUGUCUGCUUAUUUAUAUUUAUUCAAUUUAUAUUCAUUUUGUAUAUUUAUUCUCUAUUCAGUUUGUAUAUUUUUAUUUAUUUUGCACAUAUAUAUGUACUUCCCCCAUCCUUUUCCAUUACAAUUUAAAUUCCUUGAGAGUAACUUGCUUCAUUCUUUGUUUGUAUCCUUAGAGCUUCACAACAGGUGUUUGAGAAAUGUUUAUUGAUUGGUACUAGUUUAGUCCAAAUUAAGUCAGCAUCUUAUAAACCUCAGACAAAUCAGAAUUCCCCUCUUAUAUUUUACAUAGUUAACUUUUAAUAGAAAAUUAAUGAUUUCUAUUUAUAUCUAUUAAAUUUCUCAUUGCUUAUAUCCUAUUCUUCCAAAAUGCUAGCAUCUUUUUGAAUCUUGACUUUGUUUUGAGUUUAUAGAAUUAGUUAUUCCUCUCAGAUUGUGCUAUUAGCAAACUUGCUUUCUGUCUGUUUGAUGUCUUCUAGGCUUCUCAAACUCAACAUGUUCAAAAUAACACUCAUUAUCUUCCUUAAAUCUCAAUCUCCCAAAUUUCCAAAGCACUGAGAAUGCCAUUAUUGUUCCAAUUGCCUUGGUUCGAAGAACCCAGCAUCAUUAUUGUAUCAUUCCUCUCCUAAACCUCUUCAUACCUAAUUAAUUGCCAAAUUUUGUUAAUUCUACCUUACACUUCUAACCUUUUCCCAUAUAGUUACUUUAUGUCUUCAGGGUAGUCAAAUCACCAAUUUUAUAAAAUUAUCAUUUCAAAGUAUCCAUUGACACACCCUUUGCUAAAAUAGAUUACCACUCCCCCAUUACAUAGUUGAUAUAUUUGUGAAUUAUUGUGAGGGGAAAAUCACUCUCUGAUGUUCUGCAUUCUGGUGGUAAGCAUCUUUGAAUUCUGUUAUUAACUCUGUGAUCUUGAACAACACACUUAAUAUUUCUUAGUUCUGUUUUCCUUAUUUCUAAAAUUAGGGGGGUGAUCUGAGGCUGAAAUUCUUUACCUUGGGUUCAUAGAAGGGAUUCAUGGAUAGAUUUCAGAGAGUCUGUGAAUUUGGAACUUUUGAUAUCUUGAUAAUUGUACUUCAAUAUUGAUUCCCUCUGUAGUCCUCUGUAUUUUGUUUUAUGCAUUUAAGAACAGUAUUCUCAAAGGGAGAGGACAGGCUUCACUGGUCAGACAAAGGAGAUUGUGAUACAUAAUUGGUCAAUAAUCAUUGCUUUAAAGUUUCUUCCACUCCUGAACUAUUUCUUAACUAGGCUGGACAUUUCUUAAUAGCAUAUAAUUUAAAAGGCUUCCUGGGACUUGUGGGCUACUCCUAUAGGAGAAUAAUCUUUGAAUAUAAAAUAGCCUUUGAGGAUCUAGUGUCAGCUCCCUGGCAUGAUAAGGUCUUAUAAUGGGAUGUGAUUGGAAGACCAACUUAAUAAUGAAUUUGUAAGUAGGUUAUAAAUUUAAAGCUGAUUUUGCCUUUCAUUUUCAAAGAGGACCUAUGACAUCAUAAGGUGAUGACUUGACUUGCGUGUGAAUUGGAUUGUGUGCGAAAUUGUGCAAAGUCAUCAGCUUUACUCUCUUCCAAAGUCAUCGAAGUUCAGUGGCAAGACAAAGGUCAGGAUGUCCUACGAUGACUCAGGUUACAGUGGGUUCCCUUGGCAUCUUUGACAUCUGGUAUAUGGGGUGUUUAGGGAGGACUAGCAUCUCUGGCAUGAGGGCUUGCCAAGUCAUUUCCAGAGAUGCUUAUGCACUUUUGGUGUCCAUCUCUUAUUCAAUUUUCAUGUAUGGCUCCAGGAAGGCAUAGCAUGCACAAUGGUCAAAGCCCCAUAACCAACAGGUCUCAAACCCAUUGUCAAAUUUAAAACAAUUUCUUCCAAAAGCCACGAAGGUGGCUGAAUCAGACACUGGGGAAAUUUUGUUUCUUGAUGAAACAUAAAUACCUUAACUUGGCUUAUAAAGCUCUACACAGUUUGACUCUCACCCUCAUUUCCAGAUUUAUUUCAUAUUUACUCUCUUCAGUAUAUAUUUUUCCAUUUUGCCAGAUUUAUUUUUAAUGAAUUCUUUUCCUCAGUAAUUCUCCUCCAAGCUCUCAUUAUUCUACCUCUCUUUUAAGGUCUUUAUGGAACUUUUCCAAGAGAACCUUUUGAGCUGGAGACCAAUUCAUAUGCCCCUGACUUCACCUGAAGGCACUUCACUUUUGCUGUUCUUUUCUGGGUUUCUGUUUUGCUCUUCCCUGUCUCCAUAGUAGCUGUUUAUGGUCAGACCCCCUUUUUAUUUUUUGCUCAUUUGUAAAGAUUGAGGUCUGCUCCCAGAGGACAAGGGAGCUUCCUCUGCAGGGCAACAGAGGCUUCUCACUGACUGUAUUGGGGCUGGGGUUGCUGCAGGCUUCUCCAUUGCAUUGGGUGUUUCUGAUCAAAUCCUGCUUAUUAUACUGGUGUUAGGGGGCUCACAAUUUGCCUUUUGUAGUUGCAUUGGAAGUCUCACAGCUGGUCUGCUGAUCCACUGACCUUCUGAACCAGAUCAGAGUAGAAAAUGCUGCUGUAGUUUGGCUAGCUUGUUUCCCCACACCCCACGAUUACUAGCCCUGGCCUGCAUUCCUACCUGCCCAAUUGAGACAGACCAUUCCUAAAGUCCUUUCAAGAUAUCUUAAGCUGGAAAUUAUUACACUCCAAAUAUUUGUGGGUUCUGUCACUUCAAGUGACAUUCAGAGGCUUGAUCUAGUGUUGGUUCUGGGGGAAGCUGGGGAGAAUUUAGGCAAUGUCCUGCUUAUUCUCUAUCAUCUUGGCUCAACCCCCAUAUAUUUAUUCUCAUUUGUGUACUCUAUGUUAUAGCCAAAUUGGACUGAGUUCUUCAAAAUUAUUAAUCAGUCUAUUAUUUGUAGAUGUUUAUUUAUAAACUUAUAGUUAGAAUAUAUUCUCUUCCUUCUCUUUGCCCAUAGAAAUCCUUAACUUCCUUUAAAAAAAGGAAGAUUAAUAUUCUGAAAAAGAAAAGGAAUUUUUCUGAAGGGCAGAGAAGAAGAGAACAGAUUUAGGAGAUGCCAUGAGAGGUUAUAUUUCUUCCAUAGCCCUUCUCUGACCACCUCAGUAGUUGACAUUCUCUCCUAUCUCAUAAUUACCUGGACACAUGUUGUAUCUUCCCAAUAGAGUAAAAUUCCUUGAAAACUUUAUCUUUGUCCUUGUAUCUCUAUCACCCAACAAAGUACUAUACAACUAGGCUGAGCCUGGACUCAACCAGUCAGUCAAAAUACAUUUAUUAAGCACUUAACUUGUUAACUCUACUGUACUAAGCAUUAGAAAUACAAAGAAAGUAAAAGACAAUCCUGUUCUCAAGGAGCUAACAUUCUACUUGGGAGACAAGAUAUAUACAACUAUGUACUAACAAGACAUAUUCAACAUCAAAUAGAGGUAAUGAACAGUAGGAUUAUGAAGGAAUGGGAAAGGCUCCCUUUAGGUGGGACUAGAAAGAAGUCAGGGAGUCAGAAAAAAUGGAGUUCAAAUUUGGCUUUAGAUAGUUAUUAGCUAUGUUAACUUUGGCAACAUCACAACUUCUAUUUACCUCCAUUUUCUUAUCUGUAACAUGGAAAUAAUAACACCUCCCUUUCAGGAUUGUUGUAAGUCUAAAAUGAGAUAGUACUUGGUAAACACCAUGUAAGUCUUUAAACUCUAUAUAAACAUUGCCAAAUAGCUAUAAAGUACUUUAAUAAGUACUCAUCAAAUUAAUAAAUAAUAUUAAUAAAAGACCUUUAGGAGUUAUUAAGAAUCACUAUUCUCUUCCAAAUGUUCCCAGACCAUCUUUUAAAUAAAUUUUUUUAGAAUUUUGCUGAGAAUAAACAUCAAAUUUAUUCCUCUUCAUUUACAUAAUCUGUCCUAGCCCUAUUUAAAGAAAAAUUGCACUAUUUGUUCAUCUCAAGUCUUUGGAUUCCUUUUCUAUUUGUUUCAAUUGAAGAAUGCUCUUGAUAUUCAUUCUUGUGAUAUGGAAUGCUAUGCUUUGUGAAGAUGCUAUGAAAUGAGCCAUCAGAUGUGUAUUGAGGUGCUAUAUCAAAGUACCAUAUUGCGAGCUUGUCAUAUUGUCACUGUAGAGGGAUACGUAGAAGGAUUUAAAGUUAGAACACCUCAAUUUGUCAUUUAAUAGUUGUGUGACUGGUUAAAUCAUUUAACCUUGAGGAGUUAAAGUUGCCUUAUGUGUAAAAUGAGAAUAAUAUACUUUAUAUGAUUAUUAUAGGGAUGAAAUGAAAUAAUAUAUGCAAGGCAUUUUGUAAAUCUUUGACAUUACUCAUAAAUAAUGUUCUACAUUUAUUUCUUUAUCACUGUUGGUAGUAUAAUUUGUAGUUUGAACACUAUAAUCUGAGACUUGAGUUUUAUGGAAAGAGCACUGAAUUCAGUCAGAAUCCAAAUUCAACCCUUCUGUUCCUUAGUAUUUGUGUAAUGUUGAAAAAGUCAUUUCACUUUCUUGGGCCUCAGUUUCCUCAUCUAUAAGAAGAGAGCAAAACCAAAUGACUUCUAAUAUCCCUUUCAGGUCUAAAGUCUACAGUCUAAAGAAAAUGAGUUGCUACCCCAAAAGAGGCUUGGAGAUCUCUCACUGUUUUUUACCCAUCUUGGGCUCCCUUUUCUGUUGUUUAUUCCACUCUUUCCAGUUUUCCACCAAGAAGAAUGAUUUUCAAAGAGAGAAUCAAAAUUGAAUCAGACCCAAAAUUCAGGUCUCCUGACUCCCAGACAGUAGGGAACCAAAUGCCCCAUCUGCUUCCUGACCCCCCAGAUGUUCUCUGGCUCCGAGAUGUCCCGUGAUAGAAACAGCAGGGAUUGGUCUGUCUCUCCAGCUUUCACUUUGUUGGUUUCUUCUGCUUCACAAAUAGCAACUAUUGAAGUUUACAGUCAAAGUGCACAUCAUGUUGACCUUGUGUCAGCUUCUUGGCAUUCUUCAGCUAGUAUAUUAAUGGUAAACUUUUCUUUUAAUCACUUGUCACAUAUGGGAGUAUUUUGAAUCAUGUUUGCAACUCACUAUAAGAGAAUAAAGACACUACAAUCCCUUUUAUACAGAUUUUUAAGGAGUACUUUCUCUGAGUAUUAGUUGAUUUCCUUUUGGAAGUGGUAAUUAGGUUAUUCUGGCUUGAGACUUAAGUGUUCUGUGAUCAGAUGAAUGAUUCUGUUACCUGGCUGAUGAGUAACAUGUCUCUUGCCAUUAGAUACCUUGUGUCUGGCCCAAGACUAGAAUGAGAAAAGUAGGUGGUUCAAGCCACAUGUUCUACUUUUUUCCUGAAAACUCUUUUGUCUUUACUUGUAAGAAUGUAGGAUUUAGAGAACAGAAUCAGAAUUUGAAACCUGCUCUACUGAUUCCAAAUUCUCUCUAUGGUACAACACAUGUGAAAAGUCAUACACAUAUCCAUUUAGAUGUUUUCUACAAUGGAACAAUUAGGUACAGUGGAUAGAGGAAUUGUUUGGGACUCAGGAACACCUGAGUUCAAAUGUGACCUCAGACAUAUAAACAUACUGAUGUGUGAGCCUGGGCAAGUCACUUAGCUUAUUUGCAUCUAUUUUCUCAAUUUUAAAAUGGGCAUAAUAAUAGCUUUUACUUUGCAGGGCUGUUGUGAGGAUCAAAUGAGACCAUAAUUGCAAAGCACGUAGCACGAUGCCUGGCACAUAAUAAAAGGCUCCUCCACCCUUGUUGGAUUACCUCACAUCUGUUUUUAUCAACAGUUUGCAAAAGACUCUGUGUUUGUAUGUUAACUGUUUAAAAUCCCAGCUUCUCUGUGAUCAGUGUUGAGCAGGUUUCAUAGGAGGAAGAAUGAGAAGGGAAAGAAAUGGAGAGAGGAGAGAUUACAGUGGAAGAAAGACAGAGUGAGGUAGUCUGUGUUUAUUUCUCCUGAGGGAUGGGAAGGAAGAAAGAAAAAGGCUUAAUUAAAAAGAAAUAUGAGCUGAUAACUUUAUGUUUUGUUUUCAAGGCUAAUUUUAUACAGAUAGGUAGGUGUUUGCUAACCAAGGUCUUUAAUCUAAUAUUUGCUCACAUUCCUCUGACACUGAAGGAUGGUAGUAUGGUCUUUGGAUUUCUCAGACUUUUCUUCCUUUGUCCCCAGAAGAGACAACUCCCACUCACUGAGGAAAGGGCUUCUAAGUUUUACUUGCUAAAAAUUUAAGAGCCUGCCUCCAUGAUAAAUGGCCCAUGACCUCAAUUGACCUUUUCCAAGCAGCUGCUAGAAUCAUAUAGAUGAUUUCUUGCAUAUUAUGCUGAUGUCCAACAGUACUAGAGCCUAUAUUAAAAGAUACAGUGACAACCUAAAGCUCUUUUGAAGUUUCUCCUUUAUUUCCCAUCUUCAAGCUUACCUUCAGGCUUCACCUUCUCACUGCUGGUACAUGGAUUUCCAUUUCCAUUUCUCAUCUUAGCACCUAGAUUACAGUCAUGAUCCCUCAGAAUAGGAGAAAGAACAGGAGAAAUCUUAGAUUUAAAGUUGAAAUACCAGAGGGCUUUCAUUGUUGCUCUUGCCCUAUUUCUCAGUUUUAAAGCUUUUCAUUUCGAAUGGAUCGUAGUUUAUUUUACUUACUUUUGAUCUAUCUUCCUCUAAAUCAAGAAUAGAUCUAAUUUUGCUGAUUCCAGAGAUUUUGAUUCCUUGUCCAGGUUCCAAAAUCAGUCUUUUUGCCUUUAUCUUGUAUAAAUUUAAGAUUCAUUUACUGAAGAAACUCAGAGGGUACCACUUGGGAAAAUUAGAAUCUAGUACCAAAGUACAGUAUUUCACCUCUUAUUCCCUGAGAAUAGUUAUUUCAGUGAGUCACUUCUCAAUGAGUAAGAAAGAGUUUUGAAAAAUUCCAACUAAGCCACAAAGCUUGAAGGGAAGUUGGCAGAGCUUGGGAGGAGUGGAGAAGUGGUCCUUGUUUUUGUGAGAAUACAACUUGAAUUUUUCCAUCUCUGGAUUUCUUUGUUAAUAUGGGGAUCAUCACCUGUGUUGAACAGUAUCUCUUAAAAACAAACAUUUUUUUCCAAACAUAUUUAUUAUGUUGGAGGAAUAUGAAGGAUAGCAAUUAAGGACAAGUAUCAACAUGUUAAUAUUUUAAUGUUUUAUGGCCCCAAAAUGGAGGGUUUUUUUUUUAAAGUCAAGUGAUAAGAAACUGCUAAAAUAAUGUGUCAUCUUAAAAUUCUAAAAUCACCAAAAGCUACAGAGAGAACAUCUCAAAAUGUGAAAUAAAAGGGAAUUCUAGAAAAAGCUGAGAAGAGAAAAUUCAAUAGAGAUAGCCAGCGUGUCUAUACUCCAUGCUGCUAGGCACAUCUUCAGAAGCAGAUGAGUAUAUAGGGACAUCAACUUUAGUGUAAAUAUUUUGACAUCUUUCUUUUCCUGAGGUUUUAACCUUGCUGGUAAACAGGGUACAGUAAAUGAAUCGCUUUUCUGAGAAAUGACUUGAGGAAAUCAAAGCAAAAACAGGGUCAUUAGCUAAUUGUCAGACUGACUCAUGUCGUGCUUCUUAGCUGGGGUAAUAGUUGAUUAAGGUGAUUGAGUUUUGGGGGGGAUUAUUUUGGUAGUUCAUAUACAUAAUUUAUAAUAUUUUUCUGUGAAUAGAUUUGGUUAAAGCUCCAGGGAUGAUAUUGUUGUUAGAGGCACAAUUAAAGAAGGAUUCUAGGACAAGAAAGUCCUCUCAAAAUGUAUGAAAUGUUUACUUGUGAAAAGAACCUACCAUUCACAGUUGUUACUGUGCUGUGCCAGCUAUGAUUAUUAUUUUUUAUAUUCAUGAACAAUGAGAUUUUCUGCUUCUCUUAUUGCCCAUGUGGCUAACUUUGAUAAAAUGGGAUUUCUUGAAAACAUAAUGGGCGACCUUUAUGAGUUCCCUUUUCAUUGUUGUGACAGUUUCUCCCCUUCUACAUAGCAAAGUGUAGUAACGACAAUUACAAAUGAUGUAAAGUUUUAAAAUGUUUUAUAUGCUGAUCUAACAACUUAGAUGAAUUUAUACUGGUUAUAAUGACGCAAUCCUAGGGGAUAGGAAACUGGUUCUGAAAUAAGAAGACCUAAGUCUUUCACUUGAUUUGUUUCUGUGACCUAGAAAACUUCAUAUCAUUUCUCUGCCCCCUCUGAUCUGAAUUCAAGUUUCUUUUGCUGGUAAGUUUAGGGAUCAUCAGUCAUUUGGGGGAAACUAGACUAGUUCCCCAGCUGUUAUCUUUGUUUCCAAAGAAUGACUAGGUAGAAAAAUACUGCUGGGUAUUUUGUGAAGAAGCAGGAAGAGAUAUAGAGGAGUGGAGGCACAAGUCCUGUGAGAAGGGAAGUUACAUUUCAGACCUCUGGCUUCUAUUUAUACUUUGGGUGUCACCACACCUGCCUGGUUCAUUAUUUCUCCCAAUUACUAAAUAAAAUUAAAUUUUAGUUGUUAUUGCUUUAGAACUCUGUGAAGAUAAAUGAGAUAAAUAAAAAUACUUUGAGAUCAUUUAGAAGAUAAUUUUUCAAUCCUACAUUUGUUGUUGUUAUUGUUGAGUCAUUUCUGUUGUGUCCAGUUCUUUGAAAUGUUCUUAAUAAAAAUACUGGAGUGUUUUUCCAUUUCCUUCUCUAGCUCAUUUUAUAGAUAGGAAUUGAGGCUAACAAGGUAAAAUGAUUUGCCCAGGGUCGCAUGGCUAGGAAGUAUCUGAGGCCAGAUUUGAAUUAAAAGCCUCCUGACUCUAUCCACUGCACCACCUAAGUGGCCUCAAAUGUUAGAUAGUAGUAAUAAAAUUUAUGGGUAAUCAUAGAUUUGGAGCUAGAAGGGAAGGGAGAUGAGCAUUCAUUAAGUGUCUACUGUGUACCAGGCACUGCGCUAAGUACUUUGUAAAUAUCAUUUCAUUUAAAAGAGCUUAGAAAUCAUCUAACUAGAUCAUUAUGGCUGAAGAGUCUGCAGCCUGUGACUCCCAUGGUCACACAGUAAACAACUGAGCUCAGAUUGUAAUUCAGACAUUUCAAAUCUACACUACAUUAUCCCUUCCUUUGUUAUCAGUAAUUAUUACUAUGCUGAUAAUAGCUCUAAAGUUAAUAAAAUCUAUCAGCAAUCUAAAAGCUUAAACUUUUUCUAAUUCCUUUUAUGCUAGUAAUAUUUAUGUUGGUUUAAGUUAAUAUUAGUUUAGCCUGUUGUCUAAAUAUCAUGCCUAUUCUAAUGUAAACCAAGGAAAUAAGCAAUCCAUGCCUAAAAUAUCCUAAAGGAAAAGGAAAAAAAAAACCUAAAAAAAAAAAAAAAAAGAAAAUGUUUACACAUUUUCCAGGAAAGUAUCAUUCUGCUCCGCCCCUCCCUUUUUUUUACCCCCCCCCCCAUGGAAAAUAAAACAAACAAACAAACAAAGGGUGACUUAAUUGGCUUUUUUAUGAUUGGGAUUGGAAUAAACAACUCCUUAAUAAAGGAACUGACUCAGAGAGAUGGAUAUAGCAGCAUCAGAGACUAACGGAAUUCUUGACACUUUCUGGUCCCUCUCCACCCCCUUUCUUUCAGGAGAAGUCAAAAAAAUUCAGCUAGAAUCCAGAUUAUGUGUGUGGUAUCUUUAUCUGAUUGACCUCAUACUCCUAAUCAUGUCUUGUCUUUGCUUGUAAAUUAUUAGUUACUCCCUUCCUUUUUCUUAAGCACAUUACUUCUUUAAAUGUUAUACAUACACAGUUUUUAUUCCCCACUCCAGGAAAACAUAGCUACUGGAAGGUCUUAGGUUCUAUGGAAAUUUUCCACCAGACAAUGCAUUUUAUGAGUUGAAUGUUGAAAGCAAGCCUUGGCAUUGCUAGCAAAUUCUAGCUCAUUAGAACAGCAUUGCUGAUAGCCACUCUCUCCCAAAGCAAAUAACUGUAUUCAGAGAAGUAGUAAAGAAUGGGAAUUUAUUUAUUUCACUUCCUGUGUCUUUCCUUAGCAGUGGAUGAGGACGAUCAGUUACUAAAACAUUGGUGAUAAUUAGUAAAUAAUAACUAAAAAAAGAAAAAAUAAGAAAAACUUAUAUUUAUAUAGCACAUUUUACCCCCAAAGAAUUUUCUCUCCAUUAUUUCAUUUAUCUUUACAGUCACAUUGUAAAAUGGGUAGUGCCAAUAUUAUUGUCCCUAUUUUACAGAUCAGGAAACUGAGUCUCAGAGGGGUCAAAUUACUAGCUCAGUGUCACAUAGUAUUUUGGGAAAUCUAAUUUUUGAGACUCCAAGUUCAGUAUGCUUUAUGCUGUCUAUACAUGCUGCCUAUAUUUAUAAAAAUGUAUUUUUUGGAUUUUUAAAACAUUUCCUGUACUACUCCUUUUCUCAGUCUGAAUACUGAGUAUUUCUCCUGUGCUUUUGAAAUCAGAUGGAAUAUAGGCUUAAAGUCCUGGAAAAAGAAACCCAAAACUAUUCUUAUGCUUAUAACAACAACGCCUCUAAAAAGACAUAAAAUCUGACAGCAGUCCAAAGACUAAAGUACCUCGAACUCCUUUUAUGUUUGUAAUAUGUGUGUUUAAAUGGAUGUUGGUAUAGCCUGUUGUCUAAAUAACAUGCCCAUUCUAAUAUAAACCAGGAAACAAGAAAUCCACUUUUUCUUCAUUUUUAACUACUGUUAUCUCCCCUUCCACCAUGAAAAGACUAUCGGUCCCUUUUGGUAGUAACUUUAUUGACUCAGUAUCAAUUUUUUUCCACCAUGAUGUUUCAUUAAAUGGAGAUUGACAUGCUAUAAGGGUCUACAAAACAAAGGAUAUAGUGGUAGUGUCUCUCUCUCUCUCUCUCUCUCUCUCUCUCU
rnacentral:lncRNA from 1 species